GACGAACGCUGGCGGCGUGCCCAAUACAUGCAAGUCGAGCGAACUUGCGGGAGCUUGCUCCCAAAAGUUAGCGGCGGACGGGUGAGUAACACGUGGGCAACCUGCCUAUAAGACUGGGAUAACUUCGGGAAACCGGAGCUAAUACCGGAUAAUUCAUAUCUACUCAUGUAGGUAUGCUGAAAGACGGUUUACGCUGUCACUUAUAGAUGGGCCCGCGGCGCAUUAGCUAGUUGGUGAGGUAACGGCUCACCAAGGCGACGAUGCGUAGCCGACCUGAGAGGGUGAUCGGCCACACUGGGACUGAGACACGGCCCAGACUCCUACGGGAGGCAGCAGUAGGGAAUCUUCCGCAAUGGACGAAAGUCUGACGGAGCAACGCCGCGUGAGUGAUGAAGGUUUUCGGAUCGUAAAACUCUGUUGUUAGGGAAGAAUAAGUACUAGAGUAACUGCUCGUACCUUGACGGUACCUAACCAGAAAGCCACGGCUAACUACGUGCCAGCCGCCGCGGUAAGAC
rnacentral:rRNA from 1 species